CAAGAGCCCAACACGGGGCUCGAACUCACGAACCGUGAGAUCAUGACCUGAGCCGAAGUCAGCCGCUUAACCCACUGAGCCACCCAGGCGCCCCUUUGCUUUUACUCUUAAUCAACACAUUUACUUUCAGUGCCCAAGACGCCCAAGGGUAGAGGGUAAGGAAGGAUCAGGGGAACAAACUUUGGUACCUGGAAGCCUACUACCGCUAUAGCAAAAACUAGAAACACUGGCCUUGGGAUUGAACCAUAGGCAACAGCCGUGCCUUGAAAGACUGUUUUGAGUCAAAGCUGCCUCAGGAUAAUAAUGUGACACAUGGGAAGGUACCCAACGAACUCAUGUAUCUGACAAGGGAGGUUUCCAAGUAGAACACAGAAAGGGCCAAAAGAGUUUUUCUGGAUGCCUAUGAUAAAAGACAAGCACAGAUGCGUUAAAGAAGACACUAUUCUUUAGUAGAAUUUAGAGGAAAUGGAAAGAACCAGAACAUGCUGGUUCAUUCUAGCAUCUCCGAGCAACAGUUUACAAAUCUAGAGCAGUAAAAUGUGGUCUCCGGAUAAAGAUUAAGUUAAGGGUGGGGCUAUUAGAUCCUUUAAGACCUCACGCAUUUUUAAGGGCAUUCGGGGAAGAGCUUCUAAGAAUCUGAGCAUGUGGGGAAGAGCUUCUAAGAAUCUGGAGACAUGGCCCCUUAGCACCCUCACCAGGAGCCGAAGAGAGAGAAGGACCUAUUCUUAAAGAAAUAUGCAAGUCUGGCUUUUGUCUCCUGGAUGAAUUAUAAUUUGAAGCAAAGGAAGUCUUCAGUGGUGUAAAGAAAGUAUACUAGCUUGGGACAGAAAGCGACAGAGACAGCACAAAAGGAAAGGAGACCGUUGGAUCCACGAUCCUCUAAAGGCAGCAAACAGGCUGCAAACAUGUAAACAGGUUGCCGUUUUUUAUGGAAGACAGAUGAUGACUCAAGAGUGGAACCGAGAGUCCCAAAGUCCAAGGUGUAAAGGCAAGAGUCAAGGAUCACUCCCAAGGGGUAGGACCAGGCCCCAGUUAAGGAACUAAUGACGCAUUCCAGCCGGAUUUCCAUGCUGCUCUGGAUCAGUGACUGCUACGGAAAAUAGCUUCCACAUCCUCCCUUAGUGAAUGCGAUGCCUGUUACAGUUUCUGCCUCACCUGUGUACGUUGAGCAUUUAAGCAAGAGCAGGGAGGGGUUCACAGAUCUGCAGAUGGAGAAGAACUUCACCCACGGAGCCUCAUCUACGCCUGAACCUGCUCUAGAUGAACAGAUCCAGGACCUCAAGCCUGAGCCUGAGCCUGAGCCUUAGGCCGGAGGAGAUGAAACGUUUCGAAGCUUUUAGAUGUUUCUGGGUGUCUUUCAUGUAGGAAUAAUGUAAAUAAAUUUUUAGUAUGGUGGAUUAAAUAUGGCCACAAACGCUUUGAUAUUCCUCUUUUCAAGAGCUGGGAUCUACAUUGCCAUACAUCUCCCUUGAAUCUGAACAGAAUCUAUUGCUUUUUAAAUAGAAUACGGAAGUUAUUCUGUGCCCGUUUCCAGGCCUAGGACUAAAGACACUGCAAGCUUUCAUUUCCUGGCCCUUGGAACACUCUCUUGGAGCCCAGAGUCACUCUGAUAAAGACAAAUUCAAAUUAUCAACAAAGAAAAAAGAAGUCAUCAGCAAAGGGAAAAAAAUCAAGAUUGGCUUCAGGAGUAACACUAGAUCACAGAAGAAAAAUGAACCCACAAACUUAGAAGGUGACUGGAUGAACAAAUUCUGAAGUAUACUCAGCAAUUACAGGAAUAAACUAGAUCCCCACAACAGCAUUAGUUGAAUCUCAGAAACAUCAUUCUGGAUGAAAGAAGCCAUACACAAAAGAACACACAGGUAGAGAAUUUGUCAUCAACCCCCAUCCUAAAAGAAGUAUUAGAGUGAGCUGUUCACACAGAUGGAAAUAUGAUUCCUGAUGGAAGAAUGGAGACAGAAAGAUAAAGAACACUGGAAAUGGUCAAUAUGUGCCCCCAAACAACCCAUGGAAGCCAAAGCAGGAGGGGCAAUGAGAGCCAGUAAGAGCCUACAACUUUGAGGAAAUAACGUACAAGACAACUAUAAUAUAAAAGUAGAAGAUAAAAGGCCUUAUGUUGGCGUCCCUUCUCUCUCUGUCACUGGCUUUAAAAGAACAGCUGCCAUGAAUUCUAUAGCUUCAAGGAAAUUAAUUUUGCCAACAACUUAAAGGAGCAUGGAAGCAGAUCCUUCCCUAGCCAAGCCUGCAUUAUGAGAAUGAAGUCCACUGAACAUUUUGAUUUUAGCUUUCCGAGACCCUGAAAAGAGAACCCAGGUACACCUAACCAGACUCUUGACCUACAGAAACUUAGAGACAAUAAAUAGGUGUUUUAAGACACUAACU